UUCACUCGUUAGCACGAUGUAUUUCGGCUGGUCAACGAUGAUCUGCACUGCGGUGCAUCUAAAACAGAGUAUAAAACUAGUAAUCUACCAGAGCAAGCUUAUAUUCGGAGGUUUACGGUUCUAUAUAGUUUACCGACUGCGAUUAGUUAAUUAAAGAUGAUUAGUCAAAACCCUAAAAAUCUACUCAGAAACCUCUGUCUACGUUUUGCAAAGAGAGGUGAAAGCAAUAAGGCCGUGCCUGUGCAUGCAAUUCCAUUGGCAUUGGUCGGAGAAUUCAUGCGAGUACUUUUCUGUUGACAGCUAAAGAUUUUGAUGUAUAUUCAUGCGAGAAGCCUCAAUCGAAGGUAAGAGUAAUGACUAAUGUGGCUUAUGAGAAGAUGGUUCCCGUUGUGGCUCAACUAUUCCAAGUUUAU